GAUUAAAUGGCUGAAGUUUAGGCGAUAAAUUGUAAAUUUAUUUAUGGGAGUUAUCUCUUUAAUCA
rnacentral:tRNA from 5 species